rnacentral:rRNA from 1 species
AUUGAACGCUGGCGGCAUGCCUUACACAUGCAAGUCGAACGGCAGCAUGAUCUAGCUUGCUAGAUUGAUGGCGAGUGGCGAACGGGUGGGUAAUACAUCGGAACGUGCCCUGUAGUGGGGGAUAACUAGUCGAAAGAUUAGCUAAUACCGCAUACGACCUGAGGGUGAAAGUGGGGGACCGCAAGGCCUCAUGCUAUAGGAGCGGCCGAUGUCUGAUUAGCUAGUUGGUGAGGUAAAGGCUCACCAAGGCGACGAUCAGUAGCUGGUCUGAGAGGACGAUCAGCCACACUGGGACUGAGACACGGCCCAGACUCCUACGGGAGGCAGCAGUGGGGAAUUUUGGACAAUGGGGGCAACCCUGAUCCAGCAAUGCCGCGUGUGUGAAGAAGGCCUUCGGGUUGUAAAGCACUUUUGUCCGGAAAGAAAUCGCACUUACUAAUAUUAGGUGUGGAUGAUGGUACCGGAAGAAUAAGGACCGGCUAACUACGUGCCAGCAGCCGCCGUAACAC